UAUAGAGCAGCUCCUGUAUGCAGCAAGGCGCCUGAAGAAGAAUCUCUGCAGCAGUGACAUUGGAAUCUGCAUCUUUGAGAAGCUUCCCAAGUUUCUUCUAGGUACACUCCAGAAGAUAAGAAGUACUGGCCAGAGUUUAACAGAAAGGAAAACUUCACUCAUUAUUUAUGAGAAGAUGUAAAAGCUGGGCAGAAUGCACAGGGCAGACCUUUGAAGACUCUGAAAAGUAAACAAUGGCAAUCAGAUGAAGGGAAACAUAGGCCAGAAAAUGAAGUACUACCAAAGCGAUGCUGAUAAGUUCUUUUCACUUUGAUAUCCAUGGCCAACACUAGAAGAAGCCCCAAAUCCUUACUGAGGUAAAGUACCAACUUUUUCUGUAAAGACAGAAAGAGCAUAAGUGGUGGCCUUCUAUUUCAGCUUCAGUGGAAAAGACAGAGGUACCUGGAGGCUCAAAGAACA